AAGGGCUUAGCUUAAUGAAAGCAGUUGAUUUGCGUUCAGCGGAUGUAGGAUUGAGUCUUGCAGUCCUUA
rnacentral:tRNA from 1 species